GAACCUGUGGAACAUCAGAGACUUUGCAGCUAUUAGAGCUAACCUGUGUACUGCUAACUUGCUACAGAGGAAGCAGCAGAAAGCUGAGCUAACAGGCUGUUUUGCAGGUAAAUACUCUUUUAGUGGAACUGCAGGAUUUUUAUGGUAUAACUCAGACAGAAUCUACAUGAGCUAUUGUGGGAAGACAUUUAAACUACAUUUACAUACAGAUACAUGUAUUUUUUUAUUCCAUGUUACUUGGACGGGCUAAACAAGUUCAUAGUUCUGCCUGCUCCUUUUUCAGUGAAACGAAUGGAUUUUAUGAUGUAACUCUGACUGAAUAAUUAUCUAAAUUGAAAACUGCUGCAUUGCAUUACAAUGGAAGUGCUACACAGCCACAUGCAUCAACUGCAGCUGUUGACAAGCAUAUGGACCUAUUGUUCGAGUCCGUGGUGGUGGAUGCUCUAUCAUAUCAGGAGUCGGUGGUGGUGGAUGCUCUACCAUAUCAGGAGUCUGACUAAGUACCUGUGCCUGAACCUCUGUGUCUAGUUCAAAAGACCUGAAAGACCUGCUGUAAGCAGGCACAGGAUAAUAUUUUAAAAGAACCUGUAAGGUUGCCUGAUGCUGAACUUCGGGCAGCUGCGUGCUCAGUGGAACAACCGCCUGUGGGAGGAGUCGUUGUGUUGCUGUUAGGAGUUUGGGUCGGAGUCCUGGGUUUGUGUUCCCUUUAAUCUCUUCAUUAGCCUUGCUAGUCACCAUUGCAGAGCACCAUGGAGAGGCUUACCUGAAAACUCUUCUCAUGGGGCAGGCACAUCCUCACACACCUGUAACCCCAUCCUUGAAUAAAAGCUGGUAGCUGGUCACUCAUCAGAGUGUUUUAACCCAUAUCUAGCCCAUGACUCUGCCGUUUUUCAAACUUACGUUCUCAUGUUCUAUGCAGAUCUAUGGGAAUUCUUUCCUUGAAGCUCCUGAUCACACAACCAUACUGGCAGUCGGCUUACCCACUACCUUCUGCUCACCCGCUUGCUACUCAUGCUGUCAUUCUCCCAGACUUCUGGUUGUUUCGCCACCAUUCUGCUGUCUCCCGUCUGCGCUACAAUUUUAGACCGUAAGUACCUAAACUUUUCCUUUUGUAAGUCAUUCUUUAGUCAUUACUAACACUCAAUUUUACCUCAGGGCCUUCUGAUCUUUAAACACUAAAACCUGUGGCUCCAUCUCUGUGGCGUUUCUCAGACUCUGUAAGCUACCUGCACAGUCUAAGAAAAACCUGACCUGUUGCCUCUUACUAACCUCUGCUCUUCCUCGCAGAAGCUUCUGGUUCCUGAUCUCCAGCUGUUACCUCUUCAGUCAUCCGUCAAACAUUUUAAUAAACUGUUUUUAGCUCA